rnacentral:rRNA from 1 species
ACGAACGCUGGCGGCGUGCUUAACACAUGCAGGUCGAACGAAGAGCGAUGGAAGCUUGCUUCUAUCAAUCUUAGUGGCGAACGGGUGAGUAACGCGUAAUCAACCUGCCCUUCAGAGGGGGACAACAGUUGGAAACGACUGCUAAUACCGCAUACGAUCUAAUCUCGGCAUCGAGGAUAGAUGAAAGGUGGCCUCUACAUGUAAGCUAUCACUGAAGGAGGGGAUUGCGUCUGAUUAGCUAGUUGGAGGGGUAACGGCCCACCAAGGCGAUGAUCAGUAGCCGGUCUGAGAGGAUGAACGGCCACAUUGGGACUGAGACACGGCCCAGACUCCUACGGGAGGCAGCAGUGGGGAAUCUUCCGCAAUGGACGAAAGUCUGACGGAGCAACGCCGCGUGAGUGAUGACGGCCGUCGGGUUGUAAAGCUCUGUUAAUCGGGACGAAAGGCCUUCUUGCGAACAGUUAGAAGGAUUGACGGUACCGGAAUAGAAAGCCACGGCUAACCACGUG